AUGGCUUCUUAUGGUGAUGAAAUGGAGGGAUCUUUGGGAUGGGAGGGAUAGGCUUGUAGAAUACUGGUGGUUUAGGUUUCUUGAAUAUUGGAAUAUGAGGUGGAAGUGGCUUCUUGAAUAUUGGAAUAUGAGGUGGAAGUGGCUUCUUGAAUAUUGGGAUCAGUGGUUUCUUAAAAAGUGGAAUAGGAGGUGGAAGUGGUUUCUCAAAUUUUGGAAUCGGCGGCGGCAAUGGUUUCUUGUAAAUCGGAAUAGGUGGUGGAAGUGGUUUCUUGUAAAUUGGUAUUGGAGGAGGCAAUGGUUUCUUGUAAAUUGGUAUUGGAGGCGGAAGUGGCUUCUUAUAAACUGGUAUCGGCGGUGGAAGUGGCUUCUUAAAAAUGGGUAUUGGCGGUGGAAGUGGUUUCUUAAAAAUGGGUAUCGGCGGAGGAAGUGGUUUCUUAAAAAUGGGAACAUGAGGAGGGUAAACUUUGGGAGGCAGUGGAGGAAACACUUUAGCACCAAAGAACAAUGGCUGAUCAACUACAUCUUGUGUCUUAUCAUCGCCAUAGCUGAAAGAGGCAGCAAACACCAAAGAAACAAAUAAGCACAGAAGUGCUCCUCUAAAAACAGAGAGAAUUCUCAUUGGGAACUAAUCUUGAUGGCUCCUUAAAGAAAACCAAGGAAGUGAUGGAGGACUUGUUGCAGACAAUUAGCUUCUUAUAUAGUAUGUUAAAGGAAGUGAUAGGACAUAUGACAAGCUCAACUGCACAUAAUUAAGGCCUCAAAUGCUGGAAACAAGUGAAGGCUUAGUCCCAAAGCUAACAUAAAUAUCAUUACAUUAACAUUUUCCUAAUCUGACGGCUGCUUUUCACAUUCAUAAGAGCUCUAGCUCUAUCUAAUUUUAUAAAUAUAAUUAUUAUUAUGUCUCUAUAAUUUAAAUAAAUUAUCAUUGUAUUUUAUAAAUUAAUUAAAAAAUAUUUAUAAGUUAAUUUAAUACCAUUCAAUUUAAGACCGUCUAACCCUAAUCCAUCAAUAAAUAAAAAUUUUCUAACUCUAUAAUUACCUUUCAAACCUAUCUCCAUCUUUAAAGCCUACCUAACUAUCGCAUCAGCUAAGGUGGCAAAUUUUAAUACUCACUCUAUUUUAUAAAUAUAAAUUUAUUUUAAUUUUUCAUUUAUCAUAAUUUUUUUUUAAAUUAUAGUUUAUUUAUUAAUUUAUUAAUAUAUUUAUAUUUAAUAUUUAUUAAAAAAUAAAAUUCAUAAAUUUUUAAAAUAAUUUAGUAAUUUGAGUUGUCAUUGUUUUUUUUUACCAAAAAUAAAAUUACUUCAUUGAAAGAGGAGUACAAUACAAGAACCCAUAAAAAUUAAUCUAAAACAAAAGCACUAAGCCCACACUUGAUCUGCCUAUAAUAGAACUAAACCCCGUAUAAUAGUAAAAACCCUAGAGAACUGAGUUAAAUCGACUCGAGAGAGCAACUCUGAUCAAGAAGCAGAGUAUCACUGCAUUGGCAUCCUUGCCAGGGAGAUGAGACUAAACACGUUGCUAAUGACUUUGCCACCACUCUCCAACACUCAACAAGGUAAGCGACUCUAUUAAGCAAAAAGAAAGAUAAUCACCAAGAGCCCUCACAGUCGAGAACCAAAAAAUUCAGGGAAACAACAAAGGGCCACAGAAAAUCAGGGACCAAAAGGAUCUUUAGGCAACUUGGCAAUGCUCCUUGGCAGUCUUAGUCAUUUGAGGGACCGAAUGUUGCACUCACAUGAUGGCAUUAGUGGUGUUCCCAAAGUUACUAUGAUCAAAAGCAAAUAGAAAAUUCGAAGAUCCCAGAGGAAGAGGUCGAUUCAACAUCAGCGCAGCCUGAAACUCUUCCAGAAAAAGGCUUUGGGACUUCCCAAUACUCCCAUGUAGAGUGGAUAAUCUUUUAUAGAGCACACUUGCAAGACAAAUAAACAAACCAAAAGAUAUAUAAAAAUUAAUGAAAUUUUUUUUUAUGUUUUAGAAUGAAAAUUAAUGAAAAAAAUUAAUGUAAAAGUAGAAUUAAAUUUAUGUUUUAGAAAAUUUUUUUUAUAAGAAUAAAAAAUUUAUUGUAUAAAAAUUAAUGAAAUAAAAAAUAUAUAUAUCCCAUAUGAAUUUCUAUAUAUAACUUAACAUAAUAUUUUAAUUGUUAAUCUAAUAAAAAAAUAUGUUCUUAAUAUAUGUAAUCAGAUAAUAUAUAACAAAGUAUUAAUAUUCAAUUUUAUUAUAUAAUUAAUUAUUCACUAUUUUUAUACUAGAGAAUAUUUUUUUAAUAGAUAUAAUGGUAACAUAUAACAUCAUAUAUUAAAAUUAGAAGUUUAUAAAUUAAAAGAUAUAAAAUAUAUUUAUUUUUUUAUUAUUUUUAAUAAUAUCAUUAAUACUGGUCACGGUAAAAAUCUUUAAUUCAAUUCAAAUUAAUAUAACUAAAUAAGUCAAAUUAAAAAAAAAGGUGACGUUUUUUUAAAUUUGUUAAAAGAGCGGGAGGUACAUAUUAAUUUUAAAUUAUAAAAUAAAAAAAUAAAAGAAAAUUUUAAAAUAAAAUAAAAAUAAGGUGGGAAUUGCCAUCUUCAAUUACAUGUUGCUUCGCCAGUGGCUUCAACGAGAGCAAUCCCUGCUUCUUAGCCCUAUUUCUAGUCUGCAUGCCCAACUACAUAGGCAUGAAUAAUGAACCAAAUUAACAGCAAUAGCGGCGACAAUCUCUUCCCAACAAGUUUCUAAAAUAGUGUUGAACUUGCAUUUUCCUUUGAACUCGAGAUGUAAGGCUAAAAGGAUGAAAAAGGUCAGAACAAGCAUACAAGUGAAUGGUGUGGCUGAGGCACAGUGUUUUUCUUUUUUCUUUUUUUUUUUUCUUUUACCAUAUCACUAGGAAGACUCACUUUGAACUUUCCUUCUUCAUCAAGCUCAACAGAGAUCUCCUUGUUUUGAACUUUCCAUUUUCUACCUUGCAAUCAGUUGUUACAUGAAGCCCAGCAACAAAUCAAUAAUGCAUAAGAUAUCAUCUUCAAAAUAUAGUGCAAAAUCAUAGGUUAGCACUCUUUAACAUUAUCCAAUGAGCUUUCACACAGUGGUGCGAGUGAGAUAUCGAGUUUAAAUUCUAACUAAAAAUAAUAAUAAAAAAAUAAUGAGAUUUAACUCGAUAAUAUUAGUCAUUUUCAAAAUUAUUAAGUUCUCAAAUUUAUAUUAAAAAAAUCAUGAAAAGUUAUUUAUGAGUUCGAAUUUAAGUUCAACUUAAUUUUUUUUUUAAAAAAAAUUAAAGCUAAUCCAUAUUAAAAUUAUAAUUCAUGAUUAGAACUAAUAUGAUAUUUGUCUCUUAAUUUGGAGACAACUUUAGUUUCAAUGUUAGAUAAAUAAAACUUUUACAUAUGGAGAGAUGAAUUAGUCUCGUGGUAGGCAAUGGUGAUAAUUUAAAAAAUUAAAGACAUUCAUUCAUAUAAAUAGAAAUGACUCUCAAAAUUAUCCACCGAUGACCGUUGGCUUAUUGACACCCAAGUCUCAGUCGAAUCCUUAUAGGAGAAUCAGAUCCAAGACCUUCAGAGUCCACUACGCAAGCUGGCCCAUAGCAUACAAUCAAGUCUAUGAUUGAAGCAGGCCGGCUGACCAGGGGCCAGACUUAUCAAGGAGGAACUCAGCUCAUCUGAUGUGAUGGGGUAGGAGAGUAAACGCAGCUAUCCACGACUCUAUCAGCACUAGCGUCGGAAUGGAAUUAAAUGACUGUUUGACGAUGUUAGGCAAGUAGGUAUGCCCGUACGUACAGUUCUGUAUAAUAGUGACAGGUGAUACUCUAACAGGGCAAUUAUACGUCAGUAGAGAAUAAAGGAAAAAAGAAUUAAAAGAGGGAGGUCUGAACCAUUCAUGCCAAAUUUACUAAUUCAUAUUAAAAUCCUAUUUUUUUUGAAUUUCAGAUUAUCAUCCAUUAAAAAUUUGAGAUGCUAGAUAAUUUUUAUCAUUUUCUAAAUGAUUUCUAUAAUUUUAAAAGUCAGUCGGUUUUAUUUUUUUAUAUAAUAUUAGUAGAAAUAAAGGAAAAAUUAAAAAAAAAAAUUUUACAAAAUAACAAAUAAUUUGGGAUAAAACAACUUGAUGACAAGAGUAUAUACCUAGAAAGAGCAUACAUAUGAUUCAGAAAAAAAAAAUAUAUAUAUAUAUAUAUAUAUAUAUUUUUCCUCAAAGUCCUAUGAUUCAGAAUAUUUUCAAUUCCAUCUUGUGUAUCUCCUAAAUAGAAAUGCACAUAGCUGAAAGUGCCUGGCUGGUCUUAACGUUGCUUCCUUCACAGUCUGAACAUUCUCCUAUUCUAACUACUAUGCGGAGUGCUCCUCCCAAAAAAAGGAAGAAUCCGCAUUGGAAACCACACCAAUGCCCUAGCCUCCUGAAAUCAACAACACCUCACAAAAUUAAAGCCAACCUAAAUUAUUUCAUAUAACUUUUAUAUAUAUAAAACUAUAUAUUAGUUGUUAUUAUAAGGAAUGGAUUCGUAAAGCAAUUAAGCACACCCUGCGAUGCCCAAGUACUUAUUACAUGAGGCUGUAUAUGGACCCUAUGAGAUAAGCUUGUUUACGGUUUGAAUAUGACAGUAACGUGCACAUACCACCUUCUUCAAAUCAAAGCAUUAUCUUUCAUUCAAUGUGCUCUCAACUGUAAAACCUACUUAUCAUUUCCUCAUUAAUAUACUUUACCUUUAACAUACCAUGAAAUGCUCAUACUUGAAGGCAUGCAACAAAAAAAUAAAAUUAUACCCAAAUUUUGAUUUGACUAAUUUUUUAUUGUUUCAAUUUCUAUUCGAUAUGAUUCUCAAUUUUUCGGUUCAAUAUGAUUUCAGUUCUAAUUCUUCAUUCUUCAUAUAAAUUUAUACAUUUUUUAUAAAAAAUUAUAUUUAUUUAUACUUAAAUUAUCGUUUAAAUUUUAAAGUUAGUUAUUAAUAUAAAUUAUAUGAUAUAAUACAUAUUUAAACAAUUUACAAUUUAUAUAAAGUGUAUAAAUAUACAAAAUUAACCAUGAAAAUGAUAAUAUAAUUAUAUCAUUUAAUAUAUAUUUUAAUUACAUUUCUAUUAUAUUAUUUAAGUAACAGAUGACUAAAUAUAUUAUAAAUAUGGUAGUACAUUUUUAAUUAAGCAAGAUAAAUAAUUUAAUAUUUUUAUAAUCGAAGUUAUUAAGAAAAUGUAUAUGAAUAUAAAAUAAUCAUAGUAUGUAAAUUGUUCAUAAUUUUAAUGUAUAUACACAUAAUGUAAUAUUAAUGCGUAAAAAUAAAUAUAAUAUUAUUUAUAGUAUAUAAUAUAUCUAAAAGUUAUAAAAAAAAUAUGUGUAUAAAAUUAAAUUUCAAUUUGCUAUGAAUUCGAUAUAAUUUUAAUUAAGACGGUCCCAAAAUAAAUAUAAUUUUAAUUAAUACAGUCCCAAAAUAGUUUUAAUUCGCUUUUUCAUUGAAGAAGUAGAAUUAAAUCCAAACUAUAAAAUCAAUUUGAAUCGAUAUAAUUUUUAAUAUUUUCUUAUCAUUUUUUUAAAUCGGUACAAAACUCAACGAUAACUCAAAUAUAUAGUAAAAAAGGGAAAAAUACUGGUCGCCGAAAAAACAUCAAAAUUCAAAUAAAAUUAAAAACAUUGUAAGAUAAAUAUUAGAUGGACGUUGAAGAAUGAAGAUAAAUUACAAUGUGAUUGUGAGUACAAUGUAAUUAUGUAUGCCAUUUUGUCAACCAAAAAUUAAUUAGGUAUUUCGAAAAAGCGAAAAUAAGUUGAAUUAAAUCUCCAUAUUUUUUAAGGAUUAAAUAAGUUUAAUUAUUCAAGUUUCUAUAUUUUUAUUAAGAGUUAAAUAAAUCUUAAAUAAUAUAAUAUUAUUUUUUAAUAAUAAAAUAUUAUUUUAAUAAUUUAAAAAUAAAAAGUUUAGUACUUUCAUUUCUAUAAAAAUUUAAAAAAUACAUAGAUACAAUAAAUAAUUUUUAAAAUUAUAAAAAUAAAAUUUUAUCAUAUAAAAAUGUUUUUAUUAUUAAAAAUAAUAUUAUAUUUGAUGAAAACUUAUUUAAUUUUUGAAUAAAAGUAUAAGGGUUUAAUUGGUCUAAAAUUUUGAAUUUGACUAUUUGGCUCUUAAAUAAAAGUGUAGGAGUUUAAUUUGACUUAUAUCCAUUAUAGUACUUGAUGUGGCUAAAACGAAACUAUACUGCGAUUGAUAACUCAUAAAAAAGAGAAUAUGAGGUGGUUGGCGCAUACGGUAGUCACUCCGACGCUCAUAUCAGUAAACUGAAGAAAAAGGGCAAAUAUAAGAAUUGUUUAGAACUCAAUAGUAGUUGUGUAAGAAUAUAUACCUUGAUCUUUGCGAUUAUUAGCUUUUAUACGAUAAGAAGAUUAAAUUAAUUAUAGCAUCUCCUGAAAAUCAUAUUGGUAUGGGCUAAUUGAUAGGGGAUUAUGUGAUUAUAGGUAUAAUAAGGAUCUGCUGGAUUGCGAUCUCUAACAGUACCUUCCUAUGGAGUCUCACCCUAUAGGUUGAGAGGGUAAGCCUUGACGAAGAGUUGAGAUCUGAUGCGUCGGUCUUCUUUUCCUUUGAUGGGACCGGGUAUAAUCUGAUCAGACUCUUGACACGUGGUCUUGUCUUUGAAUGUCAACACAUGGCCUACCUUGGGCAAUUAUUGUGCUAUAUCAGAAAUCCUCCGUUACUUUUUGAUUAUUUAGAUUUAAAGGUGACAGUUGUCUUCAUAAUCUGGGGCACGUGACCUGUUUAGAUUGAGCUUCUAUGCUCGCGUCGCUUUGCUUAUUCUUGCCCAUAAUGAUAAUUGUCCUAUUUUAUAAUUUUCAGUUUUAAUGAGAAAACUUUCCUUCUAUAUUCUUUGUCAUUAUUUUCGGUAAGUGUUUAUAUACUUGAUACUCGACCAUAACUCUCGUCCACUUUCCUUCUAUAUUCUUUGUCAUUAUUUUCGGUAAGUGUUUAUAUACUUGAUACUCGACCAUAACUCUCGUCCGACCAUAACCAAAUAAAACUUUCAAUAAUCUCUUUAAAAAAUUAUUAAGGGAUUAAUACCUGAUCAAGCACCUGGCAACAUCUGCUUUUAGCCAUAAAAUAACUUUAAAAUUUUUUUAAUGGGACUUACUCCGUCUUGUGACUUACCUGACGAAUGCCUAUUUUGUAGCUAUAGAAAAAUAACUUAAAAAAUAAUAAAUCAGAUUUAACGCUUUCCAUGAUAAUAACUUAAAGGAUUUUGUUAAUCGAGACCGAUACUUGGUCGUUUAGCCUGGUGGAAAUCCACCUUAUAGAAUUUUUUGGCAGAAACUUAUCUUUAUCUUUUGGGACUGGCACUCAAAAACUCGCCUGGCGGUUACCUGCCUUGUGGCAUUUUUUGGUCAAAACUUGCCUUUGUCUUUUGGAACUAGCACCUAAAGACUCGACUGGUGGUUACCCGUCUUAUGACACUUUUUGGCCGAAACUUAUUUUUAUCUUUUGGGACUAGUAUCUCAAGACUCGCUUGGCGGAUACCCGCAUUGUAAUCUCGUAUAAAAUGCUUUAAAAACUUUUUAUAAAACAGGACUAACACCCGGUCUCUAGCCUAACGAAUACCUGCAUUGUGGCCUGAGCAUAAAAAUACUUUGAUUAGCAAGACUAACACCUGAAUUAUGUCAUGGUGGAUACUCGCUUUGUAGCAUGAUAUAAAAUGACUUAAAAACCUUUUGUGUUAGUUUAGUAUAAAAAUGACUUGGUUAGCGGAACUAACACCCAGAUUAUGGUCUGGCGGAUAUCCGUCUUGUAGCCUGACAUAAAAUGUCUUGUAUAGCAGGACUAACAUCCAGAUUAUGACUCAAAGGAUACUCAUCUUAUGACCUAAUAUAAAAUAUUUUGUUUAGCAAAAUUAAUACCCGAAUUAUGGCCUGCGGAUACUUUUCUUUUGGUUUUGACAUGAAAUGUCUUAUUUAGCGAGAUUAACAUUUGGAUUAUGAUCUGGCAGAUAUCCGCAUCGUAGCCUUAAUAUAGAAUACCUUAUUUAGCGAGAUUAAUAUCUAAAUUAUUGCAUGACGGAAUCCACCUUGUGGCUUUGACAUAAAAUAUUUUAUUUAGCGAUACUAACAUUCGGACUGUGGUUUGGUAGAAUCCGCACGUUGGCUUUAAUAAUAAAUGUUUUGUUUAGCAGAACACUCGAAUUGUGGCCUUCUUCUUAUUAUAUAAAAAAAAAAAAUUCAAAUGAUAAAUAUAGAAUGUACAAUACCGUUUAAAAUAUAAUUCAGAGAUCUCCAAAAAUUAUUACAACAUUGGCUGCUUCAAAGUUGACACUAAGCAAAAAUUUGGAAGAGCUAUUUUGGUGGUCUAGAUCUAAUAAUAAAUGGUUGAUAAGAAAUCACAUAUAUAAUCAAGAAAGCAACAUUUCAUAUACCGCACAGAACAAAGGGAUUUGUCGAGCUUGUCACUUUCUUAGGAAAAGUUUAAGAUUAAGGAUGUUGAUUAGUGGGAGAAAAAAAGAAAUAUUUAAAUGUGUUUUUUAAAACUUUAUAAAUUAAGAUUUUGUUUAAAAAUUCAACUUAAUUAGUUUUUAUAUUAAAAUUAAAAAAUUUAAUUAUUUUUAAUUUAAAAAAUUAAAAUCAUACCUAAUAUAAUAAGAAAUUAUUUAAUUAUUUUUUUAAAUAAACAUUUUGAAACAAGAUAUGGAGAGACAAAGGGCCUUUGUAUUGGAUCGUUGGCUGCAAUAAUGCGUGGGUUCAUGUCUAAUUAUAUUAUAAUUUUUUUUGUAUAAGCCCAAUUAAAAUUAUGUAUUUUUAGUCAAGAGCCAUUUAAUUUUUUUAUUAAAUAAACAUCUAAAAUUAAUUUGAUAUAAUAUUUUAUUUCCAUAAUUUUAAAAAUUAUUUAUUAUUUUUUGUGUUUUUAAAAUUUUAUAUUAUUGAAAUAAUAAAUUUUAAUAUUUUAAAUUAUAAAAAAAUAUUUUAUUAUUAAAAAAUUAUAUUAUAUUUGGUCAGCAUUUAUUUGGUCUUAAAAGUAUAAUUGAGGGAUUUAUUUGUAAAAAAAAUUAUAUUUGACGCUUAAUAAAAAAUAUAUAGACUUUUUUCCAUAAUUUUUUACUCACAAUGUUGAUAACCACCACACAGUAAAAUCAAUCCUUGUUCAACAUUCCAUAUUACAGAAAUCAAAUUAUACAGAAAAUAAAUAUUAAAAAGAUUAGAUGAAACCUUAUAAAAAUAUAAAGUUAAAAAUAAAAUAUAAAAUAUAAAGAGAAACAAAACAAAAUAAUAUAAAAAUAUGAAUAGGAUUUACAUAGAACUGUAGGAGUCAAAACAAAAAUUAAAAAUAUUAAAGAGACUUAACAAUAAUUUUAAAAAAAAUUAAAAUGAUUUUCAUGGGUAAAAUUUAAUUUGAAAAAAAUCGAGAAUAAACAGUAAAUUUGCAAUAUGUAUAUAUAUAAACUUUGUGGGUGAAAACUUUAAUUUUAAAAACUCCUGGAGACCAAGGCUCUCUAAGACACCACCUAAUUAUGCUUUCUUUCUACUAUUGAAUAAUAAUUCAUUAAAUCCCUAAACUAAAAUGAACUUUUAUUAAAUGGCUUCUAUAAAUUUAUAUAAUUAAACACAAUAUGAUGAUUAUUGAUAAUUUGUUAAAAAAAAAGUAAAAUUUUACACAUUUUUUAAUAACUAUGUUUAAAUUUUUUAAAAACAACAAAGCCCAUGCUCCAUUUUUUUUAAAACUAUCAUUCUCUAUUUUUUUUAGAGUAAAAUUGCCAUUUUUCCCCUUUUACAAUAAAUCAUUUGAAUGAUUCUGAUUUUUCUUAUAAAAUAAAAAUUAUUUUUUACAAAUUUAACACGACUAAUUUGCAUUUGAAUGGUGAACUUUUAUAAAUUUAGAUAUUUAAUAAAUUUAAAUUUUAGUUAGAUAUUCAGAAAAAAAUCGUAUAUAAAAGCAAGUACAUAUUUAGCGUAAAAAUAACCGAUUCACGUCUGCUUUCACAGGCGAGACAUAGAAGACCAUGUGCUGUGGCAAAGCAAGCCAAGCGAAACAAAACCAAAAAUUGAAAUACAAAAGCAAGCAUUUCAAAUAAGAAAUUUAUAAAGGUUCAAGAAAAUCAUAUCUAUCCUUUUCCUACCUCAGAUGAAGUUAGUCAUCCUCAAAAAGGCUCAACUUCCAAAAUUCACGUUUUUUUUUUUUUAAAAAAAUGUAAACAAAUUUCUUUCACAUGCUACAACAGAGAAACAUAUCUUUCUGGACUAAAUUUCGGUAACUACAUCAACUUAUGAGCUCUCAAAUACCCUAAGCGUGAGUUACAGGUUUGUGCAGUGCCUUGCCUUGUUCAGCUGACUCAGCUACUGACACAUCUACUUCUUCUUCUUAGAUUUGCUGGACAACGACUGAGUGUACGCAGUUCCCUGAACAUCCAGAAAAAAAUGUAGAAAUGCAUUUCAUUAGAAACAGUUUCUUGCACCCGAAAUGAUGUUCAAAAUGAAGAUAAUCAUGCCAUGUAUUUAAUGGAAACAACAAAUUUUUUAAGCGCUUAAAGUCCAAAUUUGCAUUAAAAAAUGCUAACUUUCAUGUUUCGGUCUAAAUUUGCUUAUGAACUAAAGUCCAAAUAAGCCCAAAUAGCCUACUAAGAUAAGCCUAUGCUAACUUUCAUGUCUCGGUCUAAAUUUGCUUCUGAACUAAAGUCCAAAUAAGCCCAAAUAGACUAAAGAUGAGCCUAUGCUGUCCUCGGUCUGUUUAGACUAAUUUGGACUUAUUUAGCCUUUUAAUAAUACUUUAGGACAAAUUUGAACCAAAACAUGAAAUUUAGCAUUUUUUACCCCGAUGUAUAGUUUAAGGGCAAAUUUGGCCUCUUUUGCUAUUUUUAAAGAGGGGCCACGUUUUCAAAUCCAUGUCUCGGUCAUGCAUGAUAAAAACAUGUAAACCCCACAAACCUGAAGCCAUUCAUCCAUUGAGACAUCCCUAGUCCCAGUUCCAGUUUCCACCUUAGGAGCCCUCUUAGUUUUCUGACCAAACAGAAGAAGCAAGUUUUAAAAUAUGUACGAAGCAAACAAAUUAAACAUCAAAAAAUUGCAGGUACAUAUGACUGAAGAUAUCAUAACAGAGCAUCUGGCAGAUAUAUGAAACAUCUAAAAUGGCAGGCAGGUAUAUAGGCCAGACAUCUACCAAGCUAUUUGCCUGACCUUUAUCAUCCACCAACUUAUCCCAUAAUUUCAUCUCUUGCAACUUGCAAGCGCACAGAACAACCAAAAGUCUCCUUUUAAAUGAAGUAAUUGAUAUCUUUUACAAUAUACUAAUUUAACCUUCCCAUGAUAGAAUCAUAUUCUCAUCAUAUACAAUCUAAAAGCAUAACUUAGAAUCUUAGAUGAUCACUACAGGAAUUAUUAAAGCAAUUAUGGCAUCCGGGCAAGCGAGUACCUUAGAAAGGUUCUGUAUUUGACCAUGAAUCCAUAGACCAAGAAGUACAAGAAGGGCAAAUCCAAGGGUAACCAGGAAAACUGACUCGACGCUGAGGAAGCCACCAGACUCGACAACUUCAAUGGUACCAUUGUAGAAGGUGCUCUGAUAUGGAUGCUGGUCUAUCUCAUAAAAAAUGGUGCCCACAAGAUCAAAGCUUCCAGGCUGCCCAAAAAUUUAAACAUACAUGUUGAAUCGCCAACUUCUCUAUAUUUCAGUUUUGAUGUAGAAAUAAGAUUGACAAGCAAUGCAAGUAUAUUGACAAUAAUGAAUCAUAAAACUCUGAGAGUAAUGCAUGUACCUGCAAGUACUUGCUGACUGCAAAAGUGUAUGGGAAUGUUGCCUGUGUUGAGGCAGGAACAGUUGCAUUGUUGAAGGCCUGCAGUUGAACAACAGUAAACAACAAAAUAAAAACAGGAAUCAACAGAAUCCUAGGAAAGCAAGAAAGCAGUGGUUAUACUAAAUUGCUAAUAAUUCUAGAAAAAAAUAUAAACUUUCAAUUAAGAGAAAGAUAAGAGAAAAAGAUAUGCAAUAGAAAAAAAUGUCAAAUUCCAAAAAUUACAAUUUAAGGCAAUGAUUAUAAAAUAUAGUACCUAGCCCAUAAAUCUGGUUUGCAAAACCUUGGUAACGGUGGCAGAUCCAAAAAUUUUGUUAGUGGGUCAAUGCACACAGCACAUGCACAAAUAUUUGUAUGUAUAAAAACAUUACAUGUGCAUGUAAAUAAAAUUUAUAAUAAAUCACUUACUAUACACAAUGGAGCAGAAAGAAGUAGAUUUAGAUAAAAAGGAAAUACAUAUGCAUAAUAGAGGAUGCUCAAGCUAUCAAGUGGUGGUGAAGAGAAGCAAUUGAUUUAUAUAAACUCAAAACUCUAGUGUAAGCAAUUUAAGCAACUGAAUGGCCCAAAGAAAAAUAAUUGACUGGGGAAAUUUUAAAAGAUCACAAUUCUACACAUAUUUAAAAGCAAUGAUAUGAGCAGACUUGUGCAACUAGACUCAAAAGUGACGGGCAAAUACUAACCCUUUCCUGAUUGUGAUACAAUGCACACAACAAACAAUACUAAAGCAACUAGCCCUAUUCUAUAAGUACCUUAAUUUAUGAAACUUUUGGAGAAUUCUUGGAAUUUCCACCACUACCUCUCUCUGGCUAACAAUUCUCAAAAAAUCCCCUUUAUCAUUCCCUAACUUGCUAUCAUUAACAAGUGGCUGUCAUGUGCACCAAGUAUACCUGGAAUGGGCGCCCAUCCUUUCUCCCACAACAAACUAAAGAAUAUUUACGAUCAGAAAGGACAGAGAAAGAGGGUAAAUGAUAAAAUUCACUCCUAAAAAUUCAUUAGCUACACUUCUCACUAAGGGAAGCAUGUUCUCUCUAUCCACCAACUACACCCUGCUCUUUCCACCCAUAAUUCAGCAAUGCGUUUUUUACUGGUUAAACUUGAUCUGAUCUUUGAUCUUGGCCCUGAGUUUGAAGCAGCUAUUUCUAUAAUCUAUUCUCGAGAAAUUAGAGCUUAAGUCAUUGUUUAUUCUAUGUAUAGAAACCACCUAAAAAAUGAUUCUGUGAUACAUUUCGUGCAUACGUACAUGUUAGUGUGUGUCAAUGAGUGUGAGACAGCAAGAACAAAGAGGAGGAGGAAGAGGAGAGAGGUUAGAUUCCUCUAUUUCCCCCAUUGGGAUGGGCACACCCAGAAAAGGGCAAACAACCAUAUCUACCCAUAUAACAAAUCAAACUAGAACCUGAUUUUGAGAUCAUCAUCACGUUAACUAUAAC
rnacentral:lncRNA from 1 species